GACGAACGCUGGCGGCGUGCUUAAUACAUGCAAGUCGAGCGAGGUUACUGUUUUGGAUCCCUUCGGGGUGAAGAAGCUUUAACCUAGCGGCGGACGGGUGAGUAACGCGUGGGUAACCUACCCCAAAGUCCGGGAUAACAGCGGGAAACCGUUGCUAAUACCGGAUGCCUUUACAGGGAGGCAUCUUUCUGUAAAGAAAGCAUAAGCGCUCUAGGAUGGGCCCGCGUCCCAUUAGCUAGUUGGUGAGGUAACAGCUCACCAAGGCGACGAUGGGUAGCCGGCCUGAGAGGGUGACCGGCCACACUGGGACUGAGACACGGCCCAGACUCCUACGGGAGGCAGCAGUAGGGAAUAUUGCGCAAUGGGCGAAAGCCUGACGCAGCGACGCCGCGUGAGUGAUGAAGGCCUUCGGGUCGUAAAACUCUGUCCUCAGGGAAGAAAAUUUGACGGUACCUGAGGAGGAAGCCCCGGCUAACUACGUGCCAGCAGCCGCGGUAAUACGUAGGGGGCGAGCGU
rnacentral:rRNA from 1 species